CUAGCCUUUAACCUAAUGGGAAUAUCUCAUUCCAGACCCAAAUGUAAUCCUUCUAAGAUUUGCAAUCUGCGCCGCCUCAAGGUUGUUAGAUCAAAAAGCUUGGAGAGACGAUCUGUAGAUUGAGGAAGGAAAGGAAGAAGAAGUUACUGUUUUAAGAAGAAGAAGAAAAGUUAUUCAAUCUAUGUUGUUGUUACUGAAUCACAAGAGCGAAAAGCAGAAAAUAUUUGGUUUGAGUUGAAUAAUCGGUAUGAGCAGACUCGAAAACGGGUUUUUCAUAAGGAUUGCCAGAGUAUUUGUUCGUGGCCGGGAAGAGUACAACUUUCAAUUUCAUUAUAAGGUUCAAGGAGAAGCUAAUUAUGCACAUACUUGAGGAAAAUGUAACUAAAAGUUAGGGGUCCUCGUCAUAAAAGGGGCUGUAAGAACAAGUCAUUGAGGCUAAUGUUAAAGCAGAAGUGGGGAACCAAGUAGAAGAACAAGCAAAGAAAAAGUACAAUUCAAACACACAUGUAGUAUAUUGACAAAGAUGCUUAAUGCUGUUUUAGCAGCCUACAAGUGGUAGGUGUUGGAUGAUAACUGGGUAAUUGUCCUCCUCCUUCUGUGCAGACUACUACAGCUUUAGCAGGUGAAGACUUAUGCUAAUUUACUUUGAUGUUAAUAUCUUAUCCAUGGGAGCUCUCAGUAAAACGUUUUGUUGCAAUAACAAAAUCAUACUCACUAACUACAUGGAAAUUGGGGAGCUCUCUUGGAAACCUAUUGCUGCUUAGUAAUUUUUGUAGUUUGAACCAUUUUGUUCAUCUUAUAUCUAGUCCUUCUAGCGAAUCAGCUUGGUUACUCUUUGUUAAGGGCGUACCAAUCAAUUAUAAGACUUCUGGUUACCAAACAUUUUGAAAUGUCAGUUUAGCAUAUUUUUUAUGUUAGGCAUGCGUCUUUUGAUAAUUCAAACUCUAUGGCGCAUCCUGAGCCAAUGCCCUGGUCGAACAUAUUUUUUGUCCCUUUUAUGUAACCCUAGUACCCAGCGUUCACUUUUUCUUUUAUUAGCUUCAUCUCAAACAUUGGUUUAUAGUUCUGUUGAUUUUAAUUGUAUGGUUAUUGUUAUAUUACUUAGUUGUAGUAAUUUUUGCAUGCUCGGGUCUUGUGUGUUGAAGUCAUGUUCCCGACAUCCUGUAUUUGGUGUUUCAGGUUUCAAUUAGGACGAAAAUCUUUCACCCAAAUAUUUUUAUCUACAAAAAAGACAUUAGAGUGCAUACAAUCUAACUAAAAAAGAAGUCUUUCCUAAUUCCAAAACAUAACCUUAACCUUGGACUUGUGUUCCAACAUUUAAAUCCUAUAAAACCGUAGGGACUUGUGUUUAAAUAAUUCACAUGUUAAUCUAAAAUUUUAAGAGAAAAAAGUGAAUGAAUUGAUAUGUAAGAGUUGGUAAGUUCGCUUUUUUGCACAUUGAAUGUUGUGGUGGCUGGCUGAUCUAUUGUUUACUGAAAUUGGCCGACUAUGGUAAAAUAUCUGGUGUAACCAUCUCUGAACACCUAAAGUAAAAUGUGACCCAUGUAAUUAUAUCUGCUGAUGGAGAGGGGUGUUUGCCACCACACUUUCAAAUUCUUCAAGGCCAUCUCAGAUGGGGAAUGGGUUCGUAAAACGAAUUUGCUAUGCUGGAAUUAAAGCAUGCACAGAAACAACGGAUCUUGUCUAUGAAGAGGUUUAUGAAGUAAGACUUGAUAAACAUGCAUGGAUGUCAAGAUGACCCCGAAAUGGUUCGAGGAUACACACCUGAGGAGAUGUAUCUAAAGAUUACUUACGGCUCGUCAUCAGAAAAGGGGUCAUAAGGACAAGUCAUGUGAGGCUAAUGCGAAAGAGAAGUGGCACAGAUAACGUAAAAACAAGCAAAUGAAAUAGCAAUCAUUCCUCACACUGAAUUAGAACAUACAAAGUAAAACCAUUUUUUUUAUUAAUCAACUGUUGCUUUCAGCUUCACAACAUCUUCCACCUGAACACUUUCUUCUUGUUCCUUCCAAACACUAACAGCAUUACUAGCUUUUCGCUUCUUCUUACUUUUGGAUUGCAAGACCAUCCACUUCAGAUUUUUCACCUUCACCAUCUUUCGGUUCACCACCCCAUAUCGUCUUUGGUAACUCAAAACAUUUCUCUAAAAGGGGUUUGGGAAAACUCAAGACAUGGGCAUUCCUAUCUUGUGUUCCUCAUCUAUCCAUAACAUGUCUGAUUUUUAGAGUUGGAUUUAUGUAGCUUUGAAUUCUGGAUGGAGAUAGAUAAAUGAAGUUUAUACUCUUACAUGAAUGGACUGUGUUGUGCAGUUUCCUUAGCUAUUCAAAUUCUGACCUGAAGAGGUUAUGAUGAACAUAAAUCGAGCCGGAAACAAGGGGCGACAUUCAAGUCUAAUGGCAAUACAGACGUUACACCAAAUGAAACUGAUAAACACAGAGGAGAGACUCAUUUGGAUAGAGAUGCAGACUGAACCGGAUUCCUGUUGUGAGUACAGGAUUCUCAUAAGACCCGCUUCUCCUGUGGCAACUUCUGACUUUGACUCAUAAUUGGGGGCCACCAAGGAUGAUCUUCAAUCAGCAUGGAAGAGGUCAAAUUUCAAUUUAAUUCUAAGGUUCGAGGAGAAGUCUAAUUAUACACACCUAAAUAGAAGAGGUAUAUCUAAAGGUUGGGUGUUUAUAGGAUGAAGAAUCAUCUACCAAACCAGCUGAAUCAAAUGAAGAAUUGUGAAAUGUGGAGACGAAUUGGAGAUCACCAAGGAUAAUCCUCAACCGGCAUGUAAUAGGAAGAAUUCCAAUUUCACUGUAAGUUGGUUGCUGCAAGCCGAAAUCCUUUACUUUUCUGUAUCAUCACUGAAUAUCUAGCCGGGGGUUCAUUGAGGGCGUUCACGCACAAACUUGAAUACGAUACAUUUUCUUUUGAGAAGGUCAUCGGUAUUGCUCUAGAUAUUGCACGAGGAAUGGAAUUCUUACCAUAGCAAGGUGUUGUUCUUUGAGACCGUAAACCUGAGAAUCUCAUCUUUGACGAAGAUAACCAGGUGAAAGAUUGUUGACUGCGGAAUUGCGUGCAAGGAGGCAUUUUGUGAAUCUUUAGCAGAUGAUGCGGGUACUUGCUGCUGGAUGGCACCUGAAAUUAUCAAGCGAAAAUCCUAUGACAGCUUUGGACUGGUCUUAUGAGAGAUGGUUGCUGGAAUAAUUCCUUUUGAUGAUAAGAAACCCAUCCAGGCAGCUUUUGCUGUGGUAAAUAAGAAGCUGAGACCUGUUAUUCCGAAGGGUUGUCCACCUCCGUUACGAGAUCUGAUCGAGCACUGUUGGACUUCAGCUUCAGAGAAAAGGCCAGAAUUUUGGCAGAUUGUGUACACACACUUGGAUCAUCUGGUCGUGGACAUGUGCACUUCAAAUGGCUACAUGAAAGUGGAUUCGAAUAUUCAUGCCGCCUUUCUCCAAGCGUGGCUGUGGGAGCACUUCGAAAGGUAUGCUCCAAAACCGUUGGCCUUACUUCCCGAGUCUUGGGGUGGCUCUAGAAUACUCCGCUGGUCGAAUAGGUGCCCAAAGAUUGGUUCGAAACUGAUUGGAUUCCUUGACAACUCGCACGCGAUCAAUUUCCGUCCAUGGGCUCCGAUGCAUGCGUCCAUAACUCAAAUCAAUACCUUUGCUCCUGUUCCGAGCAUGUCUUUGUCUUCUGAUAAAGAGGAUACGAGUGUUGGAGAGAUGGUGUUCAUGUGAAGCUGCACGCCCGGUCAUGUGUCGUCUUUCUUUCAAGGAUCUUGAAAACCAGUCUCUUAAAAUAUCGAUAGGGCGGUUCGGCAUAUGGAUUUUCACCAAGGGGUCCCAUUCGUUCGUCAACCGGUUGUUCCAGAAGACUCGUUGCCAAUUGUUCUCGAUGCUAGUGUUCUUGUGUUUGGUAAAAGUCUUCAUUUUCUUCUCGCGGAACGAAAUCCAUCAAAAACCUCCAAAUAUAACAUAUUUUGGCAGGAUGAGUUUCUCGCUAUCCAUGGAUUCGUGAAUGAUUUGGUAGAAAAUCGUCGCGGUAAGCCUUCUCCUGCGAUUUUAGCGGAUCACCCACUGCUAAGGGAUUCUUCUUCGACCAAGCGAAAACCUGUUAGCCCGGAUGCAAGUAGCCCCAAGUGAAGGAGCGAAGGUCUAAAAGGCAUGCAGAUGGUUCCCAGUCAGAUUCGACAUCCCUACCGACUUUCAGUUCGUCUAAUAUGCGGGGUCUCAGCAGCGUGAACGCCUUUACCAAACUUGCUAGUAGUCAGAAAACAUCGUUUCUCGAGACGGAGGGUGGCGGUGCUUAGCCUAUCAAUGGUGAUGGGGAACCUGAGGAGGAUGAAAGUUCAGAGUCCAGUGAUGGCGAUACUAGUUAUUCCGACAGUAGUGCCGAAUCUUCCUCUAGUCGGUCUGAAAGUGAAUCAGGGGGAAGCCGUUUCUGAAGAUGGCCCUGAGAUGGAGACUGGCGGAGAUACAACUUUGUCUCCAACUGUGGCAGCCGCACCGGGCGACCUUGAAAUGGAUGUUGAUCGAGAUGAAAACAUCGUUCUGACUCAAACAAUGGAGAGUACUCCAGUGGCUGCAUGUGCAAUUGUCGUUAGAAAUCACUUGUCGGUCGCUGAUGCAGUCGCGGGCGCCACUUUCAAUCCUCCAUACUUGGUUCCUCAUCCGGAUCAUGUGUUGAUCGGGGGAUUUAGCGUGCCAUCCAAACAUGCGGGCGACAUGGUGUGGAUAGAAAAGACAAACAAAAGACUUGUAAGUAUACAAGGACAAGUUUUAGUAUAGAAAAUAAGCAAGGGAUCAAUCCACAGGGAGUAGGAGCACAAAAGAAAUUAUCCUAAGCUAUCAAUGGGUGCAAAGCACUAUGGCAGUGAGCAAGGCAAAGCAAUAAGGCAGAUGCAAAGAUGGGAAAACAGUU